rnacentral:rRNA from 1 species
AGAGUUUGAUCGUGGCUCAGAUUGAACGCUGGCGGCAUGCUUUACACAUGCAAGUCGAGCGGCAGCGCGGGGGCAACCCUGGCGGCGAGCGGCGAACGGGUGAGUAAUGCAUCGGAACGUAUCCUGUAGUGGGGGAUAACCCAGCGAAAGUUGGGCUAAUACCGCAUGAGCUCUGAGGAGGAAAGCGGGGGACCUGAAAGGGCCUCGCGCUGCCGGAGCGGCCGAUGUCCGAUUAGCUAGUUGGUGGGGUAAAGGCUUACCAAGGCGACGAUCGGUAGCUGGUCUGAGAGGAUGAUCAGCCACACUGGGACUGAGACACGGCCCAGACUCCUACGGGAGGCAGCAGUGGGGAAUUUUGGACAAUGGGGGCAACCCUGAUCCAGCCAUGCCGCGUGAGUGAAGAAGGCCUUCGGGUUGUAAAGCUCUUUCGGACGGAACGAAAUGGGCGGGACUAAUACUCCUGUCCGAUGACGGUACCGUAAGAAGAGA